rnacentral:tRNA from 1 species
GUCGGCGUAGCUCAGUGGUACGAGCAGAGGAUUGCAGUCUUGCUACUAAUAUCCUAAGGUCACCUGUUCGACCCAGGUCGUCGACU